CCCCACCUCGCCGCGCCCCGCCUCCCUCGCCCAGGGACCCCCUAGGCCACGCCACGACCCUCCACCAGCCCAGCGAACCCCCUCGGCCGCACAGACCUGCGCCACCAGAUUUGCCAGAUACCUGCCUUUGCCGGACACCUCAAAAGUUACAGACCUGCCUGUGGACAUGCAUAGAGCACCUAAGCUAACUGCAGUCAGAUGUACAGGGCCAUGGGGCUCUGGGAUGGUCUUCCACCUCUACACCUUGUAAACAAGGAUUCCAGACACACCCUCCAAAUGGGAAUGGAGACACAUGUUUGGCAGAGUUGGACAGUGACGCUGGUCUCGUAUCAGCCUGGACUUUGAGGGGAGUGGAAAACCGGUGAGUGUGGAGGUGCAGCAGCCCUGGUAUCCCCUGAAACCAGCCUGUGGGAGGACAGUCUUCCCAGGGGAGCUGCUCAGGAGGUCCUGGUCCAUGCAUCAGGAAGAAAAUGGAACCUGAGAACAGAGGAAAAAUGCAGAAAGUGGGGCAGGGAGGCUGCUCCCUGAAACCCCCAUGGGUUGCUGGUUCAAGCAGAAAGUGUUGCUGAAGGGGGAGAGGCAGGGUGAAAUGGAACAGGAAACGAGGACUUCCGAUGAGGAGGAGGGGGCAGUGGGCUGCGGGUCUUGGGAACUGAACAGAAUGGGGUUUGCUAGACAGAGUUUUCUAGUCCUGCUGGACCUCAGCUGGCCCCUGUGAACUGCUGUUGAGGGGGAUUUAAACAAAGUCCUGCAUUCCUGUGGGUGCAUAACCCUAAGAGACCAUGGACUGCGUCUGUGUGGUGGGAACAGGAAAAGGCAGCUGAGUGUAGCCCCGCUUGGAAUUUAGUGUCCACCACAGAUGUAUCCACUACCCAGGGCCAAAGACUCGGUAGCCUCAGAAGCCUCAAUGGAAGCUGAGCACAGGACUAGAAAGGGUCAGGGCCCUCCUGUGCAUGUAGGGGUGGCACAUGGCAACUAGCUGGGUGAUGGGGAACUGAGAAAUUAAAUGUUUGACAUAAAAAUGUAAUCAGGACCUGAGAGGAGGUGGAUGGUAUAAUGAACAGCAUCCUAGAAGUCCGGUACAGAUUUCGCAUGUCCCCUUCUAGUUCCUUCUCUGCAAAUUGAAACGUGAGGCCAGGUGCAGUGGCUCACGCCUAUAAUCCCAGCACUUUGGGAGGCCGAGGCGGGCGUAUCAUUGAGGUCAGGUGUUCCGAGACCAGCCUGGCCAACAUGGUGAAACCUGUCUACUAAAAAUACAAAAAUUAGCCGGGUGUGCUGGCACAUGCCUGUCAUCCCAGCUACUUGGGAGGCUGAGGCAGGAGAAUCCCUUGAUCCUGGGAGGCAGAGGCUGCAGUGAGCUGAGAUCACACCACUGCACUCAGAGCGAGACUCCAUUGGGGAAAAAAAAAAAAAAAAUUAAAGGUGAGCCAGUUCAGGCAUUCUAGAGGCACUGCAGUUACAGACAGUAAACUGCACAAAUCCUGGGUGUAAAGUUGAUUGUUUUUUCCUAUGUAACCACCAUUUACAGCAUCUCAGAAAGUUAAAGUGUCUCUUCCCAGUUUACAGCCCCCCGCCUCCCAACCACUUCUAAAUCCACUGAUUAGCAGUGUCUUGGAAAUCUAUAUGGAAUCAUAUAGUAUGUGCUCUUUUGUGUUUGGCUUCUUUGCUCAACAUGAUGUCCAUGAGAUUCAGCCAUGUUGUUGCCUCUCUCUGUAAUAUGUUAAUUUUAUGUUAAUUUAGGUGUAGUAUCCUUUGUUUGGAUAUACAAUUCGUCUGUUCUCUACUGGUGGAUAUUUGGGUGUCUCUGGUUUGGGGCCAUUAUAAUAAAACUAUUGUGAAUCUUCUUAUACAAGUUUUUUGGUGGACACCAGCCUCAUUCUCUGAAAUGAGUGGAAACUGCUGGGCCAGAGGGUAGCUGUUGUUUUUAGCUUUAGUGGAUAUUGCCAAGUAGGAAGUAGGGAGGUGAUUAUUACAGUCUCUAAUAUAUAAAGAAAGGA